UGGGGAAUAUUGCACAAUGGGGGAAACCCGUGAUGCAGCGACGCCGCGUGAAGGAAGAAGUAUCUCGGUAUGUAAACUUCUAUCAGCAGGGAAGAAAAUGACGGUACCUGACUAAGAAGCCCCGGCUAACUACGUGCC
rnacentral:rRNA from 1 species